AGAGUUUGAUCCUGGCUCAGGAUGAACGCUGGCGGCGUGCUUAACACAUGCAAGUCGAACGAAGCACUUUAUUUGAUUUCUUCGGAAUGAAGAUUUUGUGACUGAGUGGCGGACGGGUGAGUAACGCGUGGGUAACCUGCCUCAUACAGGGGGAUAACAGUUGGAAACGACUGCUAAUACCGCAUAAGCGCACAGCAUCGCAUGAUGCAGUGUGAAAAACUCCGGUGGUAUAAGAUGGACCCGCGUUGGAUUAGCUAGUUGGUGAGGUAACGGCCCACCAAGGCGACGAUCCAUAGCCGACCUGAGAGGGUGACCGGCCACAUUGGGACUGAGACACGGCCCAAACUCCUACGGGAGGCAGCAGUGGGGAAUAUUGCACAAUGGGCGAAAGCCUGAUGCAGCGACGCCGCGUGAGCGAAGAAGUAUUUCGGUAUGUAAAGCUCUAUCAGCAGGGAAGAUAAUGACGGUACCUGACUAAGAAGCACCGGCUAAAUACGUGCCAGCAGCCGCGGUAAUACGUAUGGUGCAAGCGUUAUCCGGAUUUACUGGGUGUAAAGGGAGCGCAGGCGGUGCGGCAAGUCUGAUGUGAAAGCCCGGGGCUCAACCCCGGUACUGCAUUGGAAACUGUCGUACUAGAGUGUCGGAGGGGUAAGCGGAAUUCCUAGUGUAGCGGUGAAAUGCGUAGAUAUUAGGAGGAACACCAGUGGCGAAGGCGGCUUACUGGACGAUAACUGACGCUGAGGCUCGAAAGCGUGGGGAGCAAACAGGAUUAGAUACCCUGGUAGUCCACGCCGUAAACG
rnacentral:rRNA from 1 species